UACAGAGGUUCCAACCGUUGUUCGGAUUCAUUGGGCGUAAAGGGUGCGUAGGCGGCGGGGCAAGUCAGGUGUGAAAUCUCGGGGCUCAACCCCGAAACUGCACUUGAUACUGCCUUGCUCGAGUACUGGAGAGGAGACUGGAAUUUACGGUGUAGCAGUGAAAUGCGUAGAUAUCGUAAGGAAGACCAGUGGCGAAGGCGAGUCUCUGGACAGUUACUGACGCUGAGGCACGAAGGCGAGGGGAGCAAACGGG
rnacentral:rRNA from 1 species